rnacentral:rRNA from 1 species
AGAGUUUGAUCCUGGCUCAGGAUGAACGCUGGCGGUAUGCUUAACACAUGCAAGUCGAACGGACUCUUCGGAGUUAGUGGCGGACGGGUGAGUAACGCGUGAGAAUCUGGCUUCAGGUUCGGGACAACAGUUGGAAACGGCUGCUAAUACCGGAUGUGCCUUAUGGUGAAAGAUUUAUCACCUGAAGAUGAGCUCGCGUCUGAUUAGCUAGUAGGUGUGGUAAGAGCGCACCUAGGCGACGAUCAGUAGCUGGUCUGAGAGGAUGAUCAGCCACACUGGGACUGAGACACGGCCCAGACUCCUACGGGAGGCAGCAGUGGGGAAUUUUCCGCAAUGGGCGAAAGCCUGACGGAGCAAUACCGCGUGAGGGAGGAAGGCUCUUGGGUUGUAAACCUCUUUUCUCAGGGAAGAAUGAUGACGGUACCUGAGGAAUAAGCAUCGGCUAACUCCGUGCCAGCAGCCGCGGUAAUACGGAGGAUGCAAGCGUUAUCCGGAAUGAUUGGGCGUAAAGCGUCCGCAGGUGGCAAUGUAAGUCUGCUGUCAAAGCGUCUGGCUCAACCAGAUAAAGGCAGUGGAAACUACAUAGCUAGAGUAAGGUAGGGGUAGAGGGAAUUCCUGGUGUAGCGGUGAAAUGCGUAGAGAUCAGGAAGAACACCGGUGGCGAAAGCGCUCUGCUGGACCUUAACUGACACUGAGGGACGAAAGCUAGGGGAGCGAAUGGGAUUAGAUACCCCCGUAGUCC